GAACCAAUUCAACUAGCGACACUACUUCAGCAAACAGAACAAGUAACAAAUGCAAAGCACAGCAAAAAUCAGAAUGCAAAUAAGAAUCAGGCAACACAAAUCGCAGGCAUAAAUAAAAGGCAUUCAUCAGCUGUAAAGUCUUCUCUGCCAAAUAUAUAAACAGGGAACUGUCGCAUCAUCUCGGUAAAACCCUCAAGCAUCCGCAGACUGUCAGCCACCGCAGGUUCGCUACCACUACUUACUACCAACAUGUAAUAAAAAGCCAGGCAUGACAUAUCCCACAUCCAACAAGCGUCUCUGCGCACUAGUAUCGCCAACCGACAACACACGCAUGUUUCUCGAUGCCAAAAAGACACUGCCAACACUUAACCAGAGUUUUUUGUCCUGCUGAUGAUCGCAAAACCAUCGGUCACGAGGGCGGGCUCAGGGGGCGUUCACCGGUUCCCGUUCAUCUUGGCCAUCAUCUUGGCUAUGAUGGGCCCCACCUUCGGGUUCGCCUGGUGCUUGGUCAAGUUGGCAGGGUUGCUCAUCACUGCACCAAACAGAGGGUCAGGUCACUGCAAAGGAAGUAUCGAACAAGAACAACAUAGGCUAAAGCAGCUAAAGAAAACAACCCUAAAGCAGCAGGCAUAUAAGCAGAGAUUACAGUUCUUGUGAGCAUUAUAUCCAAGUUUAGAUAUUACAAUUUGUAUAAGCCUUAUAUCCAAGUUUAAGAAUACGCAAGGUUCAAAGAUUUAGUGUAGCUCAUAUAAAAUGGUACCUCCCAUCUAAAUAUUUGAGCCAUGCAAUACUACCCUGACGAGUAAGAAAGUACAGGACCAGAACAAUGUAGCCUACAGCAGUUCUCACACACAACCCUAAAGCAGCAAAUACAUCGUGAUACAAGCAAACGGUUAUGUCCUAACAAUUAGAACUUUCACUAGACAUGGAUGCAUACAAGGAAUGUUGAUACCAUGAGUACUAACCUGAACUAUUAGAAUAUAUCUACUAAUCUAGUAGUAUAAGAAUAAAGAUAUCGUCAAACGCAUCACAUAAAGUGGCCUCUAGUGAUAAAAAAUUAUCUGCCGCACCAGAUUUCAGGAUUGAGCAUACAUCACUAGCAUGCUUGCAUGUUCAGAAUAUUCAAUCAAACUAAUCCGCACCUUGCAUAACUCACCAAAUAUGCCCACUGUACUCCAAAAACAGACUAAAUACUCCCUCCGUUCGGAAAUACUUGUCGACAAAAUGAACAAAAAGGGAUGUAUCUAGAUGUAUAUUAGUUCUAGAUACAUCCCUUUUUAUCUAUUUUGAUGACAAGUAUUUUCGGACGGAGGGAGUACUAUGCAAAGAAAUAUGUUGCACUUAUGACCACUGCUAUUAUUAAGAGAAAUUUAUAUUCAAUCAGCUGUUUUCCAGCACCAGGACUUGACCAGGAAGAUCAACUACAACAGGCAACUGUACUAUAAAGUAAAUGGGGAUUAGAGAACUAUUUGAGUAGAAAACUGUACCAUCUUGAAGGGCCGCCAUAACCUCUGGGUCACCAAAUGCUGCCAUCAGGUCAGGGUCCUGUUUCAAAGAGAAGAAAGAAGAACAUUGUGUAAAACAGGUUUCUCCAGUAUCAAGAGUUAUGGUUACAAGGAAGACAGGCAGACACUGGGCAAGCACUUACAUUCAAGAUGUCACCCAUAUCAACAUUCCCAGGAGCACCUCCAGCUCCAGGCAUACCACCUCCCAUUCCUCUGCCACCGCCCAUUCCAGGCAUACCACCUCCCAUUCCUGCGGGCAUACCGCCCCCCAUUCCUGCGGGCAUACCUCCAC
rnacentral:lncRNA from 1 species